GACGAACGCUGGCGGCGUGCUUAACACAUGCAAGUCGAACGGAAAGGCCCUGCUUGCCGGGUACUCGAGUGGCGAACGGGUGAGUAACACGUGGGUGAUCUGCCCUGCACUUCGGGAUAAUCCUGGGAAACUGGGUCUAAUACCGGAUAGGAGCCAUUUUUAGUGUGAUGGUUGGAAAGUUUUUUCGGUGUAGGAUGAGCUCGCGGCCUAUCAGCUUGUUGGUGGGGUAAUGGCCUACCAAGGCGGCGACGGGUAGCCGGCCUGAGAGGGUGGACGGCCACAUUGGGACUGAGAUACGGCCCAGACUCCUACGGGAGGCAGCAGUGGGGAAUAUUGCACAAUGGGCGCAAGCCUGAUGCAGCGACGCCGCGUGGGGGAUGACGGCCUUCGGGUUGUAAACUCCUUUCGCUAGGGACGAAGCUUUUUGUGACGGUACCUAGAUAAGAAGCACCGGCUAACUACGUG
rnacentral:rRNA from 1 species